GGGAGGGGCGGCCGCGCCCAUGAGACGGGGACCCGGGGCGGCGGGGACGGGGCCGAGGCGAUGGGGCUUCGCAGCGCCGGAACCUGACCCAGAUUCCCCGGGUCCUCCCGACCAGCGGCCGCGGCUUCCAGUGCCACAGGUUCCGCUUCGGGCCGGGGGGCCCAGCCGAGCCGAACCCCGCGCGGCGUGACGCCGCCGCCACCGCCGCGGUUUGGCUUCAUAGCUUCUGGCGGGCGCCGGAGCCCCCAGGGUGGAGGCAGCGCCAUUGUUGGGUCUGGAGAAGGCCUGGGAGGGUGCAGACUUGGACAACUGCUUCUGCAAAGUCCACAUCAUCUGUUUAUAAUGUGACACACACACAAUGUUCCUGCAGCUACUGCUCCUGUUUUUCAUUAUGCAGUGCAUCCACUGUGGUUAAGUGUUGCUUUUAAUUUCAUUGAUAAACAGUAAGAGUCGAUUAAUAAAAAAAUUUCAAUAAAAGCAAUCACACUCAAAAUUGAUAUUCAA